rnacentral:rRNA from 1 species
CAUGCAAGUCGAACGCGAAAGGGGCUUCGGCCCUGAGUAGAGUGGCGAACGGGUGAGUAACACGUGGGUGACCUACCUUCGAGUGGGGGAUAACGUUCCGAAAGGGACGCUAAUACCGCAUAACAUCCUGCCUUUGAACAGGUGGAGAUCAAAGCUGGGGAUCGCAAGACCUGGCGUUUGAAGAGGGGCCCGCGUCCGAUUAGCUAGUUGGUGAGGUAAUGGCUCACCAAGGCAACGAUCGGUAGCCGGCCUGAGAGGGCGGACGGCCACACUGGGACUGAGACACGGCCCAGACUCCUACGGGAGGCAGCAGUGGGGAAUUGUUCGCAAUGGGCGCAAGCCUGACGACGCAACGCCGCGUGGAGGAUGAAGGUCUUCGGAUUGUAAACUCCUGUUGCCCGGGACGAAUGUCUCCGACCUAACACGUCGGAGAGUGACGGUACCGGGUGAGGAAGCCCCGGCUAACUCUGUGCCAGCAGCCGCGGUAAUACAGAGGGGGCAAGCGUUGUUCGGAAUUACUGGGCGUAAAGGGCGCGUAGGCGGCCUGCUAAGUCNAACGUGAAAUCCCCGGGCUCAACCCGGGAACUGCGUUCGAGACUGGUUGGCUUGAAUUCGGGAGAGGGAUGCGGAAUUUCAAGUGUANCGGUGAAUGCGUAAAUAUCUGGAGGACCACGGUGGCGAGGGCGGCUUCCUGNNNNACAUUGACGUCUGA